rnacentral:rRNA from 1 species
GACGAACGCUGGCGGCGUGCUUAACACAUGCAAGUCGAACGGAAAGGCCCUGCUUUUGUGGGGUGCUCGAGUGGCGAACGGGUGAGUAACACGUGAGUAACCUGCCCUUGACUUUGGGAUAACUUCAGGAAACUGGGGCUAAUACCGGAUAGGAGCUCCUGCUGCAUGGUGGGGGUUGGAAAGUUUCGGCGGUUGGGGAUGGACUCGCGGCUUAUCAGCUUGUUGGUGGGGUAGUGGCUUACCAAGGCUUUGACGGGUAGCCGGCCUGAGAGGGUGACCGGCCACAUUGGGACUGAGAUACGGCCCAGACUCCUACGGGAGGCUGCAGCGGGGAAUAUUGCACAAUGGGCGGAAGCCUGAUGCAGCAACGCCUCGUGCGGGAUGACGGCCUUCGGGUUGUAAACCGCUUUGCCCCUUGAGAAAGCUGAGGGACGGUAAUGGGUAAAAAGCACCGGCUAAUUAGUCCCAGCAGCCGCGGUGAUACGUAGGUGCGAAGGCUUUUCCGGAUUUAUUUGGCGUAAAGGGCUCGUAGGUGGUUGAUCGCGUCGGAAGUGUAAUCUUGGGGCUUAACCCUGAGCGUGCUUUCGAUACGGGGUGACUUGAGGAAGGUAGGGGAGAAUGGAAUUCCUGGUGGAGCGGUGGAAUGCGCAGAUAUCAGGAGGAACACCAGUGGCGAAGGCGGUUCUCUGGGCCUUUCCUGACGCUGAGGAGCGAAAGCGUGGGGAGCGAACAGGCUUAGAUACCCUGGUAGUCCACGCUGUAAACGGUGGGUACUAGGUGUGGGGUCCAUUCCACGGGUUCCGUGCCGUAGCUAACGCUUUAAGUACCCCGCCUGGGGAGUACGGCCGCAAGGCUAAAACUCAAAGGAAUUGACGGGGCCCCGCACAAGCGGCGGAGCAUGCGGAUUAAUUCGAUGCAACGCGUAGAACCUUACCUGGGUUUGACAUGGAUCGGAAGUGCUCAGAGAUGGGUGUGCCUCUUUUGGGGUCGGUUCACAGGUGGUGCAUGGCUGUCGUCAGCUCGUGUCGUGAGAUGUUGGGUUAAGUCCCGCAACGAGCGCAACCCUUGUUCACUGUUGCCAGCACGUUAUGGUGGGGACUCAGUGGAGACCGCCGGGGUCAACUCGGAGGAAGGUGGGGAUGACGUCAAGUCAUCAUGCCCCUUAUGUCCAGGGCUUCACGCAUGCUACAAUGGCUGGUACAGAGAGUGGCGAGCCUGUGAGGGUGAGCGAAUCUCGGAAAGCCGGUCUCAGUUCGGAUUGGGGUCUGCAACUCGACCUCAUGAAGUCGGAGUCGCUAGUAAUCGCAGAUCAGCAACGCUGCGGUGAAUACGUUCCCGGGGCU